UAUAGGUGUUUGUCAAAAAAGAUCACAAUAUUUGACAAGUUUGACGUUGCUAAGUAACUUAUCGACAUAUUACAGAUAUGUUCAAUAUAUUAUAAGUAGGUAAAGAUUAAUUCUGUCGUUAGAUUUAUGCACAAACGAAUUUUCCAAUCAUGAAAUCAGCAAUUAUAUUAUUAUUAAUAAUACACGUUAGGUACAUGCUAUGAAUAAAGCCAGAGAUAUGUUUUUU